rnacentral:lncRNA from 1 species
UAAUUUUUUUAUUUUUUUAUUUUGUUUUAUUUUUUUAUUUUUAAAUAAAGUAAAACAAAAAUAAUAAGAUAUUUAAAAAAACUUAAUUUUUUUUGAUAAUAAAUUUAAAAAAAACUCGACUUUUUAAGUAUUAGCAAAGGAACCUAAGAGAGAGAAAAGUGGGAAUGGAGGCAAGUCACAACAUUUGGAUAGGGUCUGGUCCCCGAAGUGUGGAAUUUCAAAUUUCAUAAAUGUAAUGUUUGGUUGAGUUUUCAAAAUUAAUUUUGUAGAAUAUUUUUUUUAAAAUUAUUUUUGAAAAAAUAAUAUUCAUCAUUUUUGUAUAUUAUUUAUUUUUAUAAAUAAUAUUUUUUUAAAUUCUAAAAAUUCAUAUUUUUCAAAAAUAAUUUUUGAGCAAAGAAGAUAGCGACAAGAGAUAGUUCUUAUCUUUUUCUAGAGAGAGAAAAUAAAAGAGAGAGUGAGAGUCAAUUACUCAUGAGAGUGAAUGUCUACCUUCUUUUAUAGUGCUACUCGACGCAAUUGAGAACGCGCAAUUGUCGUGUCAGUGAGUAGACAAUUGACUCAAUCAUGCCCCUAACCUUGAUUGAUAGCUAGCCCAUCACACCAUAUGUAUUCGGACCCAAGCAUAAGAGUGCUAGAGGAAGCUUUUGGUGUAUGCUAUCCUUUGACUUCGCAGCUCGGCUAAAGGAACUCUGCUAAGAUGACCUUGCUGACCCAGCUAUCGUAUUAGGAUGGCCGAUUGGACUUGGCGUAGAGUACUAGUUUGGUGAUGGCACACGAGAGAGCUCGGCCAAAAGUACAAAUAGAUAUUUUAUCUCCUUAUAGUUUCUCUAAAACAUAUGUGCUAGAGUUUCAAAAAUAUUUUUGAAAUGUUUUUAGAAGCUCCCUUAAAAUUUUAUAAGAGUUUUUUUUUGGUAAUGGAAACGAGUUUUCUGUUUUCAAAUAGAGUUUUCUACUAACUAUUGUUUGAGGGCAUCAAAUUUGAAUAGAUAUUUAAUUCACAGAACCUAUUUUUUGAUGCAUCCAAAAUAAGUUUCAUUGUGGACGGAGUCUUGUCUUACUCAAAAUUUUUCCUGUUUGGUUUAGUUUCAUAUUCAGUUUUGAAAAAUAAUUUUCAAAAAUUUAUUUUCUUCAAGUUUUUUGAUUUUUUUUUUGAGAAUUUCUUAAAAAAUAUUGCUUUUUAAAAAAAUUAUUGUUUUAAUUUUUUUAUUAUAAUUUUUUCCAUUUUAAAAUUACCAUUGAGGACAAAAGAAAACCACUCCGCCUUUUCUUCCACCGCCAUCCACCACUAGGGCUGGCCUCGACAUUUGGGUUGCCCUAGCCCGAUUAAAAUUAGUUUGCCCUCGUACUAUUAAUACAUUACCGAAAGAAAUCAUACAUUAUAAUGAAAAUAAAAUCAGGUACCUUAUAUUUUUAACUUGAAUUAUAUAAAAAAAAUCAAAAUCAAAUGUAGAAUCCCUUUAAUUAUAGUUUAUGGUGCGCUUUAGGAUUAGACAAUCCGAUUCAAAGGUAACCCUCAAUUGAAUUUUUGAAGGCAAUUUUUCAUUAAGUCGUCGUAUUUUAACUUAUCUAGGAACUCAAUUUCAUAGAAGACUUAGUCAAUUCACCACUUAAGCUAUCUUACUGGCAUGGUGUUUAAAAGGUAAGUUAUCACGCUCAACUUAGUAAAACUCAUCUCCGCCAACCACCACUUUCACCGGUAUAAUCAACAAAAUUCGUAAGCAACUCAUACUAUUUGAAAAACCCUCUUUCCAUAAAACUUUUAAAUUAAAGAUGUUCAAUCGCAUUUUGUACUUCUCUCGGCAUAUUUUUUUUAAAUGUCUAAUUUCUUGAAAUACCCAUCCUCAUGAAUAUUUUUUGUUCAUUAUGUUCCAAAAAUUUUUUAAUUUAGUGCGCAAUGCUUCGUCAAUUACCCUUCAUCAGUAGUUCUUGAACCACCACUGCUGCUUUCUCCCACGGUCCCCCUCACAUAUCACCCAUCUCCAGAGACUCCAUCAUCAUUGCUCACACCCUUCGUACAAUUCUUGCCAAUUUAAUAAUCUAGGAUUUUUUUUAAUGAAAAAACUCUGUAGAGGGUUGAAUUAAGGCAUUAGUUAGAUUUUGAUUACAUUUUAUCUAUCUAUCUAUCUAUCUAUCUUGUCAGGCUUUAUCCAUUUUUCUUCUUAAAAUUGUUAAAGAGAUAGGAACAUAAGUGACACUUCAGAGGGACUAUAAUAAGGUGAUAUGAAACAUUUAACAAAAUAUAUAUAUAUAUAUAUGUGUAUGCGCGCGCCAGCAUAUACCAUAUAGAUAAGCGUAUAUAUAAAGGUGUAUACAAAAUUGAAAAUGCCAAUAGCACAAAUUCACACAUGAACCCAGCAGCAUCAAUGGUUGGGAUUUUUGUAAUUGCUGCAUGUUUCUCAACAAUUGAUGUAGGUUAUGUAGUUGAUAGGGUUUCCAAUUUGUUUUUAUACAUGGGGACACAGCUUCUCUGAAUAUCAAUGUUUUGGAUUGUACUGUGCAAUCCAAAACAUUGAUAUUCAGAGAAGCUGUGGCCCCAUGUAGAAAAACAAAUUGGAAACUCGGGUCAACUACAUAACCUGCAAUCCAAACCUUUGAAAUAUUUUUUGAAUCUAUUUUGAUAAUUCAAAUUGUUCAUAUUAUAGAUUCCGUCGUAAAGAUCAAUCUUCUAAAAAAUUAUGUUAAUCGAAUACAUGGGGACACAACUUCUCUGAAUAUCAAUGUUUUGGAUUGUACUGUGCCAUCCAAACAUUUAAACUUCAUUUUGAAUCUAUUUUGAUAAUCUAAACUGUUCAUAUUAUAGACUCCGUCGUAAAGAUCAAUCUUUUAAAAAAUUAUGUUAAUCGAAUACAAAAUGUUAUCCAUUAAGUAAUAUUUUUAUAAUUUAAUAAAUGAGUUUGACACACAAUAUUAUAUCAAUUUAUCUUUAUGUAAAUUGAUAUUGAUCUUGACCUAUACCCAAUCAACAUGAUUUUUUAAUGUAUUAAAUUCUUAAUGAGAUAUAACAUAUGAACGAUAUAAAUAUUUAAAAUAGGCUCAAAACGAGACCCAAAAUAUUUGGAGUAAGCCAAUGUUUUCCAAAAUUGGAUUGCGUAGAAACGUGGUCCAAUACAUGGUGUGUGUGAGUAAGAGAGAGGAGGAGGAGAGAUGGUAGGGGCGGGAGUUGCCUGGAAGUGGGAAUGAGGUGGGUUACUGUGGGUAUGAAAAAUAGGGUUAGUUUUGGCAUAUUGAUAGGCAAAUUGCUCCUCCCCAGACGCCUCCCUUGUCAGACCCCUUGUCCCCUUGUAAAAGUAUAAUUAUGUCCCCUCUCACUUCUCUCUCUCUCCACACUUCUCUCUCUAGUUUUUUUUUUUCAGUUUUUUUUUUUAGUUUUUUUUUCAUUAAUUUUGGUACAAAAAGUUGUUAAUCUUUUUACAGAUCACAAUUUUGCACUUCUCUGAUUUUUGACGAGAGAAAUUGAAAUUAUAAAAAAUUUUAUGUUAUAUUUUAACUUGAUAAAUUAGCUAAAUUCUUUUUUUUUUUUCCUUAGUGAUUUUUUAUUUAAACUGCCAUCAAGAUUUUUUUAUUUUUAAAAAAAAGUAUAAAUUUUAAUUAAACGGUGUAAAAGUUACUAAAAAAUAUUUGAAAAAAUUCAAAAAUUUAACAAUACUAAAGUCUCAUACAAGAAAAAAACUAGGCAACUUGGCCCAAUUUUCACUGGGAACAGCCGCCAAUAAAAAGAUUUUGAUCUAACAUUUGUAUAUGAUGUUCCGAAAAACUGAUUUACAUUGCGUUUGAAAUCGAUGAAAUUAUCUAAACCUCCUCAUUUAUAACAUUGGGGGGGGGGGGGGGGGGGGGGGGGGUACAUUAAGACGUAAAAUGAAUCCACAAUUGGCUUACUGUACAGUUUCGAAACUGGAAGAAUAAUUAGAUGGCGAACAAAAAUUUAAAAAUUUAUAAAAAAAUAGUUACGUAUGUUAAAAAUUCUGGAAAAUUUUAUAUGUUUAGAAAUUUAUAUGUUCAAUUAUUGUGUAUUUAAUUUCACGAAUUGAUGUAAUUAUGUGACAUCCAAAAUAAUUGUACACCUACCUACUGUCAGUAAUCAUGUUUGUCAGAACUGAAGAAUUCGACUAAUUUAUAAAAUAAGUUAAAUGAUAUACUCAUGUAUAAUAUUUUUUUUACUAUAGACCACAACAUAUAUAUGUCAGUAUAUAUGUAAAACUUUUGGAGUCAAAUUAAUUUUAAAUGAUUUUAAUAAAAUAUCACCGAAUCUGUUUUAAAAUGUUAAAACUGUUUGGCCAAAAAAAGAAAGAAAUAUUCAAAUUAUAUUAAAUUUUUAUAAUUAUGACAUUUUAAGAAUAUUAAAUCUAUCGAUUCGAAUAUCAAACGUAGACCCCGAAUUCCCAAAAACGUUAGCUCCGAUGUUUAAAAGAUUUGAGCAUAUUCUUGGUGAGUCCUUGUAGUCGUACAUGCAUAAAAGUAAACUGUUUUAUGUUCUGAAAGCAUGGCUUGUGGUUUUAAACUUGAUGACUGAUAAUGUUUUUUAAUUAAAAGCAGGCUUUGUUUUGUUAUACCAUGAAAUUAUGAACAUGAUAUUUGUGAAAUGUAAUGUUUUAAGUCGCACAUAGUUCCAUACGAUGCCCCGUUCGCUAAGGGGGAGAAUAUAGCGUGGUUGAUUAAUAAGGAGAUCAUGACCAAUGAUUGUGGGAUGAAUUCAUACAAAUGUUUUUAUGGUCUCUCCCUAUAUUCUGGUGUUCGUUGAACGUUUAGGUGUGUCGCAAUUGUCAAUCGAAAUGAAUGUAAAAUUUGAUGUAAUAGUUGGCGUCCUGAGCCAUGAUCCCCGUGAGGGAUUGAAUUUUCUAUUGUAAUCUUGACUGAUAGUCAAGGGAUGGCCUAGUUGAGCCAUGGAUUGACAAAAAGUGGUUUCAUUUUCUAUGUUUUGAAUGAACCUGAUUUUUAUAUAUUUUCAUGGGUGAUGUAUGUUUUAUAGUAUACAGUGGACAAAAGAAGGGAGUCCCCUUCCU